rnacentral:rRNA from 1 species
GAUGAACGCUGGCGGCGUGCCUAAUACAUGCAAGUCGAGCGAACGGACGAGAAGCUUGCUUCUCUGAUGUUAGCGGCGGACGGGUGAGUAACACGUGGAUAACCUACCUAUAAGACUGGGAUAACUUCGGGAAACCGGAGCUAAUACCGGAUAAUAUUUUGAACCGCAUGGUUCAAAAGUGAAAGACGGUCUUGCUGUCACUUAUAGAUGGAUCCGCGCUGCAUUAGCUAGUUGGUAAGGUAACGGCUUACCAAGGCAACGAUGCAUAGCCGACCUGAGAGGGUGAUCGGCCACACUGGAACUGAGACACGGUCCAGACUCCUACGGGAGGCAGCAGUAGGGAAUCUUCCGCAAUGGGCGAAAGCCUGACGGAGCAACGCCGCGUGAGUGAUGAAGGUCUUCGGAUCGUAAAACUCUGUUAUUAGGGAAGAACAUAUGUGUAAGUAACUGUGCACAUCUUGACGGUACCUAAUCAGAAAGCCACGGCUAACUACGUGCCAGCAGCCGCGGUAAUACGUAGGUGGCAAGCGUUAUCCGGAAUUAUUGGGCGUAAAGCGCGCGUAGGCGGUUUUUUAAGUCUGAUGUGAAAGCCCACGGCUCAACCGUGGAGGGUCAUUGGAAACUGGAGAACUUGAGUGCAGAAGAGGAAAGUGGAAUUCCAUGUGUAGCGGUGAAAUGCGCAGAGAUAUGGAGGAACACCAGUGGCGAAGGCGACUUUCUGGUCUGUAACUGACGCUGAUGUGCGAAAGCGUGGGGAUCAAACAGGAUUAGAUACCCUGGUAGUCCACGCCGUAAUCGAUGAGUGCUAAGUGUUAGGGGGUUUCCGCCCCUUAGUGCUGCAGCUAACGCAUUAAGCACUCCGCCUGGGGAGUACGACCGCAAGGUUGAAACUCAAAGGAAUUGACGGGGACCCGCACAAGCGGUGGAGCAUGUGGUUUAAUUCGAAGCAACGCGAAGAACCUUACCAAAUCUUGACAUCCUUUGACAACUCUAGAGAUAGAGCCUUCCCCUUCGGGGGACAAAGUGACAGGUGGUGCAUGGUUGUCGUCAGCUCGUGUCGUGAGAUGUUGGGUUAAGUCCCGCAACGAGCGCAACCCUUAAGCUUAGUUGCCAUCAUUAAGUUGGGCACUCUAAGUUGACUGCCGGUGACAAACCGGAGGAAGGUGGGGAUGACGUCAAAUCAUCAUGCCCCUUAUGAUUUGGGCUACACACGUGCUACAAUGGACAAUACAAAGGGCAGCGAAACCGCGAGGUCAAGCAAAUCCCAUAAAGUUGUUCUCAGUUCGGAUUGUAGUCUGCAACUCGACUACAUGAAGCUGGAAUCGCUAGUAAUCGUAGAUCAGCAUGCUACGGUGAAUACGUUCCCGGGUCU